rnacentral:rRNA from 1 species
UGGGGAAUAUUGCACAAUGGGCGCAAGCCUGAUGCAGCCAUGCCGCGUGUAUGAAGAAGGCCUUCGGGUUGUAAAGUACUUUCAGUCGGGAGGAAGGUGUCAAGGUUAAUAACCUUGGCAAUUGACGUUACCGACAGAAGAAGCACCGGCUAACUCCGUGCCAGCAGCCGCGGUAAUACGGAGGGUGCAAGCGUUAAUCGGAAUUACUGGGCGUAAAUCGCACGCAGGCGGUUGAUUGAGUCAGAUGUGAAAUCCCCGGGCUUAACCCGGGAAUUGCAUCUGAUACUGGUCAGCUAGAGUCUUGUAGAGGGGGGUAGAAUUCCAUGUGUAGCGGUGAAAUGCGUAGAGAUGUGGAGGAAUACCGGUGGCGAAGGCGGCCCCCUGGACAAAGACUGACGCUCAGGUGCGAAAGCGUGGGGAGCAAACAGG